GACGAACCGUGCGAACGUUAUUCGGAUUCACUGGCUUAAAGGGCGCGUAGGCGGACGAGCAAGUCCGGGGUGAAAUCUUUCGGCUCAACCGGAAAAGUGCCUUGGAUACUGCUCGCCUUGAGUGAGGUAGGGGCAUGUGGAACUUCCGGUGGAGCGGUGAAAUGCGUUGAUAUCGGAAGGAACGCCGGUGGCGAAAGCGACGUGCUGGCCCUCAACUGACGCUGAGGCGCGAAAGCCAGGGGAGCAAACAGG
rnacentral:rRNA from 1 species